CCUACGGGUGGCAGCAGUGAGGAAUAUUGGUCAAUGGACGCGAGUCUGAACCAGCCAAGUCGCGUGAAGGAUGACUGCCCUAUGGGUUGUAAACUUCUUUUGUAUGGGGGUAAAUUCCGCCACGUGUGGCGUUUUGUAAGUACCCUAUGAAUAAGGAUCGGCUAACUCCGUGCCAGCAGCCGCGGUAAUACGGAGGAUUCAAGCGUUAUCCGGAUUUAUUGGGUUUAAAGGGAGCGUAGGUGGAUUGUUAAGUCAGUUGUGAAAUUUUGCGGCUCAACCCUAGAAUUGCCUGUGAAACUGGCAGGCUUGAGUGUAGUAGAGGUAGGCGGAAUGCGUGGUGUAGCGGUGAAAUGCAUAGAGAUCACGCAGAACUCCGAUUGCGAAGGCAGCUUACUGGACUGCAACUGACGCUGAGGCACGAAAGUGUGGGUAGCAAACAGGAUUAGAUACCCCAGUAGUC
rnacentral:rRNA from 1 species